rnacentral:rRNA from 1 species
GAUGAACGUUGGCGGUGUGCCUAAUACAUGCAAGUCGAACGGAGACUGUAGCAAUACUGUCUUAGUGGCGAACGGGUGAGUAACGCGUUGGUGAUCUGCCUCGAAGUGUGGAAUAACCUCCCGAAAGGGAAGCUAAUACCGCAUAGUCUCUCAAGGUUUAGAAAAUUGAGAGUAAAGGAUUUAUUCGCUUCGAGAGGAGCCUGCGUCCCAUCAGCUAGUUGGUAGGGUAACGGCCUACCAAGGCAAUGACGGGUAGGGGACCUGAGAGGGUGGCCCCCCACAAUGGAACUGAAACACGGUCCAUACACCUACGGGUGGCAGCAGUAGGGAAUAUUAGAAAUGGGCGGAAGCCUGAUCUAGCAACACCGCGUGUGCGAUGAAGGCCUUCGGGUCGUAAAGCACUUUUGGUAGGGAAUAGGAAGGAAGGUAACCUCCAGAAUAAGUCUCGGCUAACUACGUG